CGAACGGGUGAGUAACACAUAAGUAACCUGCCCUAGACAGGGGGAUAACUAUUGGAAACGAUAGCUAAGACCGCAUAGGUACGGACACUGCAUGGUGACCGUAUUAAAAGUGCCUCAAAGCACUGGUAGAGGAUGGACUUAUGGCGCAUUAGCUGGUUGGCGGGGUAACGGCCCACCAAGGCGACGAUGCGUAGCCGACCUGAGAGGGUGACCGGCCACACUGGGACUGAGACACGGCCCAGACUCCUACGGGAGGCAGCAUG
rnacentral:rRNA from 1 species